AUAGUUUUGGGAUGAAUUUGUCCUGUGGGACACUUGAAGGAGACAUUUAAUCUGAAGAAUCCAUCUUUAUUUUCAUUUACCCUUCUGCAAUGACAAUAAUGAGACUUAGGCAACCCUAUUACUGCAGAGCCUCUGAGGAGCUUCUAGACAUGAAAUCCCAGAAGGAACACUGGAUGGUGUAGACUGGAGGAUGGAGGGCAGUAAAAGUGUGCAUACCUCCCUAGAAUGUUCUCAG
rnacentral:lncRNA from 1 species